GUUGGCAUAGUGACAGCUGGUCCUUCUGGUUGCCCUGCAGGAGGGCUGCUCAGAGCUGCUGAGACCAGGAGCUUUUCUACCUCUUGACGAAGAAACAGCAAGGAGGUCCAACGUGGUUUUACACGGUUGCUCCAUUCUCCUUUAUGCUGUUCUCCUUAUGCCUUAAAGGACAUGUUACCCGUUGUUAUUUAAAGCAUGUUAUUGCGAUGGAUGUCCUAACCAGAGUUGGGUUAAUCCUACGGGGCCGUGAACGCACCACGCCUGUACUUCCAGUAUGGCGGCGGCUCGGACUUGCGGAGGAAGACAACUUCUUCUAGAUAUUUUCCAGAGAACCGCUGGAGACCAGCAGCUUUAACCCUGACCCAUCCCGGAAGACUCGGCUGGGACCUGUUCAGUCAACAACAGCCCACUUGUUUCCCUGAAACCCAACCCCAGUGUGAUGCAUGAGGAGCCGCAGUGAAGAAGAAACUCCCCAGAUUUUUCCGCUCUCGCUGUCAGGUAGCAGCGACUAGAAGCUAGCUAGCUAGCUAACCGUGGUUCGGGGCUCGGUUUGUAGCCAAUGACGCCUUGUCUCGUUGGCCUUCCUUGCUGCUGCAGACAGGUAUGGCACAUCGCCUCCACGCGGGAAGACAACUUGCUGAGAAGGGCCGGGAGAAAACAUCGGAGGAGCUGAAGGAUAACUUUGUUAGUUCUCAUUAGCCUAGCCUAGCGUAGCCUAGCCGGUUGGCCGAUAGUUUGGAGAUUGGCAUUCCAGUUGAACAGGCCGACCUGCUGCCCCUGUCUGCGGAGAGUUUCAAGUGGCCGAUAUCCUGUGAAUGGACACCGAGCUGCUUUAAUUGACCCACGGGGGGGUCCUGGCUGUCUGGCUUUACUGGGUGUCUUUAGCGCUUUCUGGAGGGAGUGGAGAACCGACGUUAGGUGCUAAUCUAAGGCUCCCUAAGUGAGGAUAACAAGGUGACCCAGGUUCUGAUGAGCCGCUCACACCGACAGGCUGCAGGUGAGACUUCAGGGUUAUCCCUGGGGAGGGGGGGUUCUGUUGGCCUGCUCCAGGUGAGCUCAUCACGGGUCAAAAAGGCGCAGUAGUCAAUGACAGCAGGAAACAAGCGGGUUGGGUGAUUUCUUUGGGCCGGUUCUGGCAUCAGCCGAGUUCUAGCAGCCAGCCCCAGAGCUUGAACAGUUUGAUGGACGUGAGGGGCUGUUUGCCAGGUUGUCAACGCUGUAAGCGGUCAAGUUUGUCUUGACACAUGGCCCCUUGGUCUGCUGUCAGCUUAAAGCGUCGCUAUGUAGCUUUAGUGGGAGUCUUUAAAAGGAAUGUCUUGUGUUUUUCUACCUGUUAACUUUGUUUUUUUAUGCUUCUCCAACACCUGACCGCAUAGUUGAGUCAAAGUCUUCAGAUCGGACAGUGGACAAUGCUUAUCAGUUAGUGCCUAAAAGAUUAGAGAACUUGUUGA